GGUCGAUUAGCUUAGUUGGUAGAGCGUGGUACUAAUAUUUGGUUAUCAAUGCCAAGGUCAUGGGUUCGAGCCCCAUAUUGACCA